rfam:Cyanophage P-TIM40, complete genome.
UGUUGCCUGAUCAGCAACAAGGGAGUGACUGAAUAACCCUGUUGGAAAUAGGCGGGGUAAAGUGAUGGCUUAGAGGUGGUGCUCGCUGUUGGGAACAACAGAACCCCGACCAAGGGAAGUCAGACAGUGUGAUCCUAAUUUCGCUUUAGCGAUUCCUCACACUUGUUGGUAUGAAGUAAUCCAACCUCCCACCCU